rnacentral:rRNA from 1 species
GGGUUGUGAGGUUAAGCGACUAAGCGUACACGGUGGAUGCCCUGGCAGUCAGAGGCGAUGAAGGACGUGCUAAUCUGCGAUAAGCGUCGGUAAGGUGAUAUGAACCGUUAUAACCGGCGAUUUCCGAAUGGGGAAACCCAGUGUGUUUCGACACACUAUCAUUAACUGAAUCCAUAGGUUAAUGAGGCGAACCGGGGGAACUGAAACAUCUAAGUACCCCGAGGAAAAGAAAUCAACCGAGAUUCCCCAGUAGCGGCGAGCGAACGGGGAGCAGCCCAGAGCCUGAAUCAGUGUGUGUGUUAGUGGAAGCGUCUGGAAAGGCGCGCGAUACAGGGUGACAGCCCCGUACACAAAAAUGCACAUGCUGUGAGCUCGAUGAGUAGGGCGGGACACGUGGUAUCCUGUCUGAAUAUGGGGGGACCAUCCUCCAAGGCUAAAUACUCCUGACUGACCGAUAGUGAACCAGUACCGUGAGGGAAAGGCGAAAAGAACCCCGGCGAGGGGAGUGAAAAAGAACCUGAAACCGUGUACGUACAAGCAGUGGGAGCACGCUUAGGCGUGUGACUGCGUACCUUUUGUAUAAUGGGUCAGCGACUUAUAUUCUGUAGCAAGGUUAACCGAAUAGGGGAGCCGAAGGGAAACCGAGUCUUAACUGGGCGUUAAGUUGCAGGGUAUAGACCCGAAACCCGGUGAUCUAGCCAUGGGCAGGUUGAAGGUUGGGUAACACUAACUGGAGGACCGAACCGACUAAUGUUGAAAAAUUAGCGGAUGACUUGUGGCUGGGGGUGAAAGGCCAAUCAAACCGGGAGAUAGCUGGUUCUCCCCGAAAGCUAUUUAGGUAGCGCCUCGUGAAUUCAUCUCCGGGGGUAGAGCACUGUUUCGGCAAGGGGGUCAUCCCGACUUACCAACCCGAUGCAAACUGCGAAUACCGGAGAAUGUUAUCACGGGAGACACACGGCGGGUGCUAACGUCCGUCGUGAAGAGGGAAACAACCCAGACCGCCAGCUAAGGUCCCAAAGUCAUGGUUAAGUGGGAAACGAUGUGGGAAGGCCCAGACAGCCAGGAUGUUGGCUUAGAAGCAGCCAUCAUUUAAAGAAAGCGUAAUAGCUCACUGGUCGAGUCGGCCUGCGCGGAAGAUGUAACGGGGCUAAACCAUGCACCGAAGCUGCGGCAGCGACGCUUAUGCGUUGUUGGGUAGGGGAGCGUUCUGUAAGCCUGCGAAGGUGUGCUGUGAGGCAUGCUGGAGGUAUCAGAAGUGCGAAUGCUGACAUAAGUAACGAUAAAGCGGGUGAAAAGCCCGCUCGCCGGAAGACCAAGGGUUCCUGUCCAACGUUAAUCGGGGCAGGGUGAGUCGACCCCUAAGGCGAGGCCGAAAGGCGUAGUCGAUGGGAAACAGGUUAAUAUUCCUGUACUUGGUGUUACUGCGAAGGGGGGACGGAGAAGGCUAUGUUGGCCGGGCGACGGUUGUCCCGGUUUAAGCGUGUAGGCUGGUUUUCCAGGCAAAUCCGGAAAAUCAAGGCUGAGGCGUGAUGACGAGGCACUACGGUGCUGAAGCAACAAAUGCCCUGCUUCCAGGAAAAGCCUCUAAGCAUCAGGUAACAUCAAAUCGUACCCCAAACCGACACAGGUGGUCAGGUAGAGAAUACCAAGGCGCUUGAGAGAACUCGGGUGAAGGAACUAGGCAAAAUGGUGCCGUAACUUCGGGAGAAGGCACGCUGAUAUGUAGGUGAGGUCCCUCGCGGAUGGAGCUGAAAUCAGUCGAAGAUACCAGCUGGCUGCAACUGUUUAUUAAAAACACAGCACUGUGCAAACACGAAAGUGGACGUAUACGGUGUGACGCCUGCCCGGUGCCGGAAGGUUAAUUGAUGGGGUCAGCGCAAGCGAAGCUCUUGAUCGAAGCCCCGGUAAACGGCGGCCGUAACUAUAACGGUCCUAAGGUAGCGAAAUUCCUUGUCGGGUAAGUUCCGACCUGCACGAAUGGCGUAAUGAUGGCCAGGCUGUCUCCACCCGAGACUCAGUGAAAUUGAACUCGCUGUGAAGAUGCAGUGUACCCGCGGCAAGACGGAAAGACCCCGUGAACCUUUACUAUAGCUUGACACUGAACAUUGAGCCUUGAUGUGUAGGAUAGGUGGGAGGCUUUGAAGUGUGGACGCCAGUCUGCAUGGAGCCGACCUUGAAAUACCACCCUUUAAUGUUUGAUGUUCUAACGUUGACCCGUAAUCCGGGUUGCGGACAGUGUCUGGUGGGUAGUUUGACUGGGGCGGUCUCCUCCUAAAGAGUAACGGAGGAGCACGAAGGUUGGCUAAUCCUGGUCGGACAUCAGGAGCUUAGUGCAAUGGCAUAAGCCAGCUUGACUGCGAGCGUGACGGCGCGAGCAGGUGCGAAAGCAGGUCAUAGUGAUCCGGUGGUUCUGAAUGGAAGGGCCAUCGCUCAACGGAUAAAAGGUACUCCGGGGAUAACAGGCUGAUACCGCCCAAGAGUUCAUAUCGACGGCGGUGUUUGGCACCUCGAUGUCGGCUCAUCACAUCCUGGGGCUGAAGUAGGUCCCAAGGGUAUGGCUGUUCGCCAUUUAAAGUGGUACGCGAGCUGGGUUUAGAACGUCGUGAGACAGUUCGGUCCCUAUCUGCCGUGGGCGCUGGAGAACUGAGGGGGGCUGCUCCUAGUACGAGAGGACCGGAGUGGACGCAUCACUGGUGUUCGGGUUGUCAUGCCAAUGGCACUGCCCGGUAGCUAAAUGCGGAAGAGAUAAGUGCUGAAAGCAUCUAAGCACGAAACUUGCCCCGAGAUGAGUUCUCCCUGACCCUUUAAGGGUCCUGAAGGAACGUUGAAGACGACGACGUUGAUAGGCCGGGUGUGUAAGCGCAGCGAUGCGUUGAGCUAACCGGUACUAAUGAACCGUGAGGCUUAACCUUACAACGCCGAAGGUGUUU